rnacentral:lncRNA from 1 species
GGGACCGAGCUGUAGCUUAUUUUCAGCAGGCACCACACUCUUGUUUAAGCAUUCUCUUCCCGCUCUACUCUGCUUCUUAUCCUUCCUCUUCUCCUCAGAGUGCUUUCUUGAUCACUUACAAGAAUCUUCAUCUCAGUCUUGGUGGCACAGGAACCCAACUCAAGACCCCUGGCAUGAGAGGUGGUCUUAAGAAGCCUACGCUGAGGGUGAGAUUCAGGAGCUGCCUCACUUGCUGUCUGGAUGGCAAAUAAGGACCCUGGAGCUGGAGGGCGCACCCAUGGCACAUGGAGGUUCCCAGGCGAGGGGCUGAAUCAGAGCUGUAGCUGCUGGCCUACACAACAGCCACAGCAAUGUGGGAUCCAGUCUCAUCUGCGACCUACACCACAGCUCACGACAAUGCCGGAUCCUUAACCCACUAAGCGAGGCCAGGGAUCAAACCUUCAUCCUCAUGGAUAUCAGUUGGGUUUGUUAACCACUGAGCCACGACAGGAGCUCCUCCUCUGAUUUUUAUUGUUUAUUUCUUCUGCUACCUCUCAUGUUUUCUUGAGUUUUGUUUUUUUUCCUUUUCCACUUCCCUAAGUUAUAAAGGUGGUUUAUUUGAGAUCUUUCUUAUUUUAUAAUGUAAGCAUUAUAGCUAUAUCACCUUUAGCACUGCUUUCAUGUGUUCUCUUCACUUGGGUUUGUUGUGCUUUUGUUUUCACUGAUUUCUAAGUAUUUUCUAAUUUCUCUUGUGAUUUCAUCUUUCAUACAUUGGUUGUUUAGGAAUGUGGUGUUUAAUUUCAACAAAUUUGUGAGCUCUUUUUUUUUCUUCUGUUAUUGAUUGAUAACUUCACCCUGUUGUCAGAAAAUACACUUUGUAAGAGUCUGUCUUUUAAAAUCUAUUGAGACAUAAUUUGUGGCUUGCACUAUGGUCUAUCCUGGACAAUAUUCCAUGUGCACUCGAGAAGAAUAUGUAUUCUGUUAUUGGGCAGAGGCUUUUUGUAUAUGUCUGUUAGAUCCAGUUGGUUUAUACAUUGUAAAGUCCUCUAUUUUUCUCUUCUGUCUUUUUUUUUUUUCUAUCCAUUAUAGAGAGUGGGGUAUUGAAGUCUCCAACUAUUAUUGUAGAACUGUCUAUUUCUCCCUUUAAUCCUGUCAAUUUUUGCAUUAUAUAUUUUGAUAACUUUUAUUUAGUGUAUAAGUAUUUAUAAUCAUUAUAUUCUUGCUAUAUUGAAACUUUUUAAAGUAUAUAAUGUCCUUCUUUGUCUCUUGUAUACUUUUUUUGAUUUAAAGUAUAUUUUAUCUGAUAUUAGAAUAGCCACUCCUGCUUUCUUUUGGUUACUGUUUGCGUGGAAUAUUCUUUUCCAGACUUUUACCGUCAACCUGUUUGUAUCAUUGGAUUUAAAGCAAUGAUAAGCAAAGUCUCUUGUAGACAACGUGUACUUGCGUCAUGUUGUCAUUUAUUCUGCUAUCUAAAUCUUUCAAUAGGGGAAUUUCAUCCAUUUACAUUUAAAUAAUUAUUGCUAUUUUUUUCUAUAUGCCUUAUAGGUUUUUUCUCUAGUUUCCUGCAUUACUAUGUUGUUAUAUUCUUAUGUAUAUUCUUAGUGUCUUUUCAUUUCAGCCUAUAGCACUCCAUUUAGCAUUUUUUUUUUUUGCAUGAAAAAAAUAUAGUGGUUAUAAGCUCCCUUGACUUUUAUUUGGGAAAGUUUUAAUUUCUCCUUCACUUUUGAAAAACAGUUUUGAGAGAUAUAAGAUUCUUUGUUCACUUUUUUUCUAUUAGCACUUUGACUAUAUCAGCUCACUGCCUUUUGGCCUCCAAAAUUUCAGAUAAGAACUGUGCCAAUAAUAUAAUUCAGGAUCUCUUUUAUGUAACAAGUUGCUUCUCUUUUGCUGCAUUCAAAAUUCUGUCUUUGGCUCUUGACAGUUUGAUUAUAAUAUAUCUUGAGUUCAUUCUACUUAGAGUUUGUUGAUCUUCUUGAUGUUUAUAUGCAUGUGUUCAUAAAAAUGUGGGAAGUUUGGGGCCACUAUUUUUUCAAAUAUUCUUUCUGCCCCUUUCUCUAUCUUUUCUUCUUCUGGGAUUCUCACAACAUGUAUGUUGGUUCAUUUGAUAGUGUCUCAAAGAUUUCUUAGGCUCUGUUAACAUUUUCUGAUCUUUUUUCUUUCUGUUCCCUCAGAAUUAGUAAUCAUCUUAUCAUCAACUAAUAUUCAUUCUUGUUCUUGUCUGUUCAAAUCUGCCUUUUAAUCCCUCUGGUAAAAUUUUCAUUUUAGCUACUGUUUUUCUCAGUUCAAAAAUUUCUUUUUUGAUUGUUUUUAGGUUUUCUAUCUCUUUAUUGAUAUUUCUACUUUGUUCAUUAUUUUCUUGACUUUCUCCUUAUCUUCAGGCAGUUCUUGGAGUAUUUUUAAGUCAGUUGUUUUGAAUUCUUUGUUUAGUAGAUCUGCCAAAAGAUCUCUUUCAGAGACACUUUCUGUUGAUUUCCUUUUUCCUUUGAAUGACAUAUCUUCCUGUCUCUUUAUACGCCUGUGAUUUUUAAUUGGAAAUUGAACAUUUGAAUCUAAUAAAAUGAUUCUCUGGGAAUCUGAUUCUCUCCCUUCCCCAUGGUUUACUUUUUUUUUGGGGGGGGGGGUGUAUUCAUUGUUGUAGGCUAUCUCUGUGCCAAGGGGUAAAUUCAAAAUCUUCUCAGGUCUUUUCUGAGCCUGUGCCUUCCCCAGAUAUGGAGAGUGACUUUCUAA